ACACGCAUGACACACUGCAUAUCAAUAAGCGGAGGAAAAGAAACUAACAAGGAUUCCCUUAGUAACGGCGAGUGAAGCGGGAAGAGCUCAAAUUUGAAAUCUUCAAGGUUCUACCUUGACGAAUUGUAGUUUAAAGAAGUGUUUUCUGUUAGUGGAGUGGCAAAAGUUCUUUGGAAUAGGACAUCAUAGAGGGUGAGAAUCCCGUAUUUGGUCAUUCCUUCCUAGCUUUGUGAUACACUUUCAAAGAGUCGGAUUGUUUGGGAAUGCAGUCCAAAAUGGGUGGUAAAUUUCAUCUAAAGCUAAAUACUGGCGAGAGACCGAUAGCGAACAAGUACCGUGAGGGAAAGAUGAAAAGAACUUUGAAAAGAGAGUUAAACAGUACGUGAAAUUGUCAAAAGGGAAGCGUUUGACACCAGUGUUGUUUUCUCGAAAAUCAAUUAAAAAUGGUGGGAUGUUGUGUUGUAUUGACUUUAUCAGCUUUCUGCACUUUUUUUCCUAUCUUUUUUAAUGCACUUUUCGUUUAACAAGUCAACAUCAAUUUCUUUUGUUGUAAAAGAGUCAUUGGAAGGUGGCUUUCUUUUCGGAGAAAGUGUUUAUAGCCUUUGGCUUCUGCAAUCGGAGAGAUUGAGGUCUGCAGCGUAGAUCCUUCGGGGUUAGAUAGCAUUUGUGCUAAGUUAUAGCCUUUCAUAGACAACUUGUUGACUAUGAUCAGUCAUGUAGCUUACUCGCUUAUGUCAUUUUACCUACGCUUAGGAUGUUGAAGAUGUAGCACAUCAU
rnacentral:rRNA from 1 species